rnacentral:rRNA from 1 species
AAAUUGAAGAGUUUGAUCAUGGCUCAGAUUGAACGCUGGCGGCAGGCCUAACACAUGCAAGUCGAACGGUAACAGGAAGCAGCUUGCUGCUUCGCUGACGAGUGGCGGACGGGUGAGUAAUGUCUGGGAAACUGCCUGAUGGAGGGGGAUAACUACUGGAAACAGUGGCUAAUACCGCAUAACGUCGCAAGACCAAAGAGGGGGACCUUCGGGCCUCUUGCCAUCAGAUGUGCCCAGAUGGGAUUAGCU